UGGAUACCUUCUGGACAGAUCUUUUAUGGUAAAUUUGGAAUGAUACAGAGAAGAUUAGGAUGGCCCCUGCACAAGGAUGACACACAAAUUCAGAAAGUGUUCCAUAUAUAU